CGGCUCCUCCAACCAACGGCCGCGGCAGGCCAAACAUGAAGAUGCUGAUGAUGUGCAACAAUAAACACAUCAGAUGCACUUCUGUACUAUUUGCUCCUUUUAUUCCACAUUGUACUGUCCACUAUACAAAUCAGCACAUGAGAUCAAACGUAAUACAAAUGCACAGACUGUACAAACAAAACUGCAACUCACAAAUAUUACACCAAUUACUAUGCCAAACUACAACAUCGGCCUAUGGCAUCAAUUAGUGCAUUAAAUACUAUACAUCAAGUUGCAUACAAAAAUGCAUCAAAACAACUCAAGCUGCGGUCAACAGAAAGUUUCCUCUCAUGCGCACCCUACCUUUCUGCUCAUCAACAUCAGGUGUGGUGAACAGAUGAGUGCAACCACAUUUAUCACCUAACACCCAUGAAUCACCCCCCACACCCGUGCACCAAUACAGUGUGUGCAUUUAAACCAACCCUCUUAAUACAAAAAAAGAACAGUCAUAUGGCUCCUACACUCCCAGUCCUAGUGUCAAGUUCAGAAGUCUGAGACUGUGUCUGAGUUUACUUCUCGUUUUUUUUUUUGUUGUUUUUUACUUCCCUUUUUUAUUUUAAUCAUCUCUCAUCAUGUGUGCAUUGUGCAAUUUUGCAUUUUGUUUUGCUUUCCGUCUCUUCAGUCAGCAGUUAGUUCCAGCUGUUGUCGAUCUGCUCAUUAUUCUCUGUGUGUAUUUAAGUCCUCAAUCUUCCUCUACUUCUUGUUGGAUUGUCUCUUCAUGCUGUGUGGUCUUGUGUUAUCUGUUCUGUUCAUAGUGAGCGGAGCCGAAGCUGAGAGGGAGGAUGAUGAUCGCUGCUUGGACUGCAUCACGCUGGACUCUGCUCUGCGUGUGUCUCGUCGGGGUUUGUGCGGCUGAAGUCAAAGUAACCAUCGCAGUGGGACAGAUGACCAUUCUGCCAUGUCGAGCUCCAAAUAACAAAAGUGAUCCCAUGAUAGUUUUAGAGUGGAGCAGACGUGAUCUGGGAGAAGAAUAUGUCCUGAUGUACCGAGACAAGAACUUUGAUCUCGACAACCAGCAUCCAGCUUUUGUGAACCGGGUUGACCUGCAGGACAGACAGAUGAAGGAUGGAGACGUGUCUUUGAUUCUGAACAAUGUGAUGUUUAAUGACACUGGAACAUAUGAGUGUCGUGUCCUUGUGGCAGGAACAGACAGAACUAAGAGAGCUAUUCUCGAUGUUGACCCAAUCAGCAUCAUCUACCUGAGAGUUGUUGAUCCUCCAGGUCAACGAGGAGGACGUGUUAGACUGAGAGUCGCCCUGAUAGUUUCUGCUGUGCUUUUUGCUGCUGCUGUUGUUUUUCUGAUCUACAGAAAACAGUCAGGAUUCAGAGCAUUCACCUGCUGCCAACUGCAGACUUUCUGAAAUGUCUCAUAGAUUUUUCCAUAUGAACUCUGAGUUUCCUGCUGCUGAGCAGAGAGAUAAAUGACGCGAGGACAGACGACAUUCAACAACACUCCACAGAGACCAGCCCCAUCCUCGUCAACCAACUGGACUGCAUUUAAAGAGGAACCACAAAUCCAACCUGGAUGAUGUUACCACACAUCAACAGAAAGACUAACGUGUAUUAUUAUUAUUAUUUUCAUUUAUUUAGUGUUUCAGUUCCCUUAUCUCUAUAAGAGUGACCAGUAGAAGCACAUGGCAUUCAGCAGUAUCCAACUUUACCCAUCUGUGGUGAUACAGUGCUAUAUUCUGCUAUGUUCUAUCCUAUUCCAGGUUCUCAGCAUUGAAUUUAAGCAUUCAGUGCAGAUCUGAUCUGAGGACUGACAGAAAUUAAACUGAAACACUACAUGUUCAGAGCAUGAGUAGGGCUGUCUUGUCAAAGUAUACAAUAUGACAUUACUGGGUUGGUUGGUUCCCUCUAAUAAUCCUACUGCUGUGUUUAUUUUCUUUUCCUCAUUGGUUUGGUGUACAGUACAGAGUGAGGGGCACAAUCAACUGGGAGAGUAUUAAUGAUCUUGGAGAUCAGGUCUGUAAAUUUUAUCAUUAACCUGUUUAGUUGUUGCUAGUCUGUGACUGAGUUUGCAGGUGUGUGUGUGUGCGUGUGUGCGUGUGUGUGUGUGUGAUAGUGCAUUAAUUAGAUGUGUUGAGGCCUCUACCUCAUUUGUAAGCAACAAUACUCUUCUUCUUCUUUUGUAAGUCAAGUGUUCAAUCGAACAACUGCACUGCAUUGACCUUGGGAUGUUAGUUUAUAAUGCUUUUGUGUAACUUGAUAGGUAUGGGCUAAGAAGCUUUUUUUGUCCUGUCUGUCCCUGAGUGUGUUGUGCUUUAAGUGAACAGAGGUCUUCCACACUGCCAGAUCAGUUUGACCUGUGGCCUCCUCUCUUAUUAUAAUACACUGGUAACAAAGGACUUGGGUUUGAGACCCAAGCUACAGCAUCAGUUUCUUGGUUCCAGCCACACUUGGGGCAUGUUGGAUCAACUUUGUUCUUAUGUAAUCAGCGCUAAAAGCUGACUUUAGGAAAGUCAGGCACUGGUUAACGUCCCCAAAAAAGUUUUUUUUUUUUUUUUUUUUUAACCUCAAAACAAACUCGGUUAAAUUGUACAAAAAUUAGAAUCUUGACUUAUUAAUCAAAUAUGUUGCUCAUUGUAAUGUGUGGCUAACUGUGUAACAAAAAGCUUGUUUUUUUAAAUUAUGGGCCUAGCAGGGCCUGCUGGGAUUUUGACCUGGUAGGCAUGUAUUUUCUCUCUUCUGGCUCAGGUACUGCCCUUCUGUUAAGGCCACAGAAAGAGGAGCAGAGAGCCUUAGUGGUGUGUGGCGCUGCUUGCUUGUUGUUUGUAAUUUAAUUUGUUAUGUUUCCUUUCUUAUGAAGGUAAUAGUGGAUUUUCUGUGUUUUUCAGUUUAAUUAUUAAAAAAAAUUCUCCUUUUUUUUGUGUUUUCAUACAUAUAAACAGCGAUAAAAAGGAACAAGUCUGAGCACAAAUAUGUACAUUUGAAAACCAACCAAUGGGGAAGUCUGCAGCUACAGAGAUGGCCACUUAGCAGCAGGAUACAGAGAACAAUGACAAUGUUAAACAUAAUGGUACACUGUAUCCAACCCCUAGAGUGUACCAGAUGCAUUCAUAAAGAGCCGAUACUGUAAUCCAAUAAAGGUGAAAAAGUUCCAGAAAUAAAAGGUUUCUGUGAGAGAAAUUGGGUUUAUUUAUGACAAACUUAGUUAAAGUUUCAGCUUGGACACACAACUUUAGAUGUGAGUUUUAAAAAGUAACUCUGAUCUGAGUGUCUGUUUUUCCCUUUGAUUGAUAUAUAUAUACAUGCAGAUAUACACUCAUCCCCCUUCCCCCCUCCAAACGCCUUUGACGCUUAUUCCCCUCCGAUGCUGACGGUGGAUCAAGGAGACCAGCGCAUAAGCUGCAGGCCCGGAUGUACUGUCUACGUCACCCUUUACCCAUCCCUGUUGCUUGUCAUGUGUUUCUUUGGUGCAUUAAGAGUUCUUUCAUGUGCUAUGUGCAGAGGUGUUUUUUUUUUUUGUUCUCAAACUGAUCUCCCUAUUAUACCUCUCUGACCUGUCUUCCCCAUGUGAUGUUUUUGUGUAAUGUAUGUAUGGUUGGAGGGUAAGAUGGCGCUGCCAUUGCAUGCAAUAGGUCGGCAGCCUUAACAUGAAAUUUCCCCUUGUGGGACUAAUAAAGGUAUCUUAUCUUAUCUUAAUCUGUGUAACUGUUAAAGGGUGGCCUAUAUACUUCUGCUGUCUUGUUGCCUUGUUGUUGCUUCGUUGCUGUUGUGGUGACUGGCUCUUUGCUUUGUUUGUUAUAUUUUAAUUGUGCUUUUAAAAUGAGUUGAAUUUUAGAGUGUGUGUGUUUGUUCUUUUAUCUCUCAUUUACUCAGCAGUUUGGGGUAUUGUAUUUUGCUUUAGUGGAGGCACAGCAGCUUGUUGUGGGGCACGUGAGGUGGAAUUCCCUCUGAUGCAUGUGAGUGUACAAACUGGUAAAUAGGUAUAAUGCACUGUUUGAGUUGCAGAGAGGCUACACGGGUGAGUAACUGGUGGCACCCUUGGGCACUCCUUCCUGUAGGUUGCCUCCCCAAGUGGCUGGUCUCCUCCAUUUUGUUUAAAUAUUUACUGAGCUGCUAUUUCAACUACGACAGUAUCAUUGCAGCGAACCUUGUUCCUUUAAUUGAUAUUUGCUAACAAAGUGUCUUUAUUCACGUUUCUGUAUUGCCAGCCCUGCUACCGAAGAAGUUUCUGUUCUGCACUUUACAUUCACAGUUAUUUUGUCUAAUAAACUCUUUUUACGAAACUGACCUGCCUCACCUCUGCUUGUUAAUAACGAGGCUGUGUGCCUUUUUCAAACUGUUGCAACGUUUGCACUGGCUAUUGUAAUCU
ensembl:lncRNA